GCAUGCGGGUGGUUCAUUAAGGCAGAUGUGAAAGCCCGGGGCUCAACCUCGGAACUGCAUUUGAAACUGGUGAACUAGAGUACUGUAGAGGGGGGUAGAAUUUCAGGUGUAGCGGUGAAAUGCGUAGAGAUCUGAAGGAAUACCAGUGGCGAAGGCGGCCCCCUGGACAGAUACUGACACUCAGAUGCGAAAGCGUGGGGAGCAAACAGGAUUAGAUACCCUGGUAGUCCACGCCGUAAACGAUGUCUACUUGGAGGUUGUGGCCUUGAGCCGUGGCUUUCGGAGCUAACGCGUUAAGUAGACCGCCUGGGGAGUACGGUCGCAAGAUUAAAACUCAAAUGAAUUGACGGGGGCCCGCACAAGCGGUGGAGCAUGUGGUUUAAUUCGAUGCAACGCGAAGAACCUUACCUACUCUUGACAUCCAGAGAAGCCUGCGGAGACCCAGGUGUGCCUUCGGGAGCUCUGAAACAGGUGCUGCAUGGUUGUCGUCAGCUCGUGUUGUGAAAUGUUGGGUUAAG
rnacentral:rRNA from 1 species